rnacentral:rRNA from 1 species
CAAACAUGCAAGUCGAACGGAGUUAAUUUUGAAGCUUGCUUUAGAAUUAACUUAGUGGCGGUACUGGUGAGUAACGCGUGAGUAAUCUGCCUAUCGACAGGGGGAUAACAGAGGGAAACGUUCUGGCUAAUACCGCAUAAGACCACAGGAUGGCAUCAUCAAGGGGUCAAAGGUUAGAUCUAGGUGAUAGAUGAGCUUGCGUAUCAUUAGCUAGUUGGGUGACGGGUAAAGGCCCACCAAGGCGACGAUGAUUAGCCGAUCUGAGAGGAUGACCGGGCCACACUGGGACUCGAGAUACGGCCCAGACUCCUACGGGAGGGCAGCAGUUAGGAAUAGUUGGGCAAUGGAGGAAACUCUGACCCCAGCAACGCCGCGUGAAGGAAGAAGGUUUUCGGACUGUAAACUUCUGAUCUAAGGGAAAAAGAAAGUGAUGGUACCUUAGGAGAAAGCCACGGCUAACUACGUGCCAGCAGCCGCGGUAA